rnacentral:rRNA from 1 species
AGCGAACGCUGGCGGCAGGCUUAACACAUGCAAGUCGAGCGGGCGUAGCAAUACGUCAGCGGCAGACGGGUGAGUAACGCGUGGGAACGUACCUUUUGGUUCGGAACAACACAGGGAAACUUGUGCUAAUACCGGAUAAGCCCUUACGGGGAAAGAUUUAUCGCCGAAAGAUCGGCCCGCGUCUGAUUAGCUAGUUGGUGAGGUAAUGGCUCACCAAGGCGACGAUCAGUAGCUGGUCUGAGAGGAUGAUCAGCCACGUUGGGACUGAGACACGGCCCAAACUCCUACGGGAGGCAGCAGUGGGGAAUAUUGGACAAUGGGCGCAAGCCUGAUCCAGCCAUGCCGCGUGAGUGAUGAAGGCCCUAGGGUUGUAAAGCUCUUUUGUGCGGGAAGAUAAUGACGGUACCGCAAGAAUAAGCCCCGGCUAACUUCGUGCCAGCAGCCGCCGUAACAC